rnacentral:rRNA from 1 species
UACGGAGGGUGCAAGCAUUAAUCGGAAUUAUUGGGCGUAAAGGGCGCGUAGGCGGAGAUAUAAGUCAGAUGUGAAAUUCCGGAACUCAAUUUCGGAGCUGCAUUUGAAACUAUAAGUCUAGAGGGAUGGCGGAGGAAACGGAAUUCCACGUGUAGCGGUGAAAUGCGUAGAUAUGUGGAAGAACACCUGUGGCGAAAGCGGUUUUCUAGCUAUGACCUGACGCUGAGGCGCGAGAGCAAGGGGAG